rnacentral:lncRNA from 1 species
CUAGGAGAGGGUUCCUACAUCCUCAACUGGCAAGGCUGACAUUUGGAGAGGUGAUCUCAGGCCUGGAUCUGUAGAUAGCCACAGGAAGCAUGAUUUCAGAAGCAAUGGUGGUCAUGUGGCAAGGACAAUAUGGUACCAGCCAGCCAGGGUGGAGCGGCACAGAGUGGAGAUGAGCCACGGGAAGGCAUGGAAGUAUUAACAGAGCACAG